rnacentral:rRNA from 1 species
CGCGAAUGGCUCAUUAUAACAGCUAAAAUCUACUUGAUCUUGACACAAUCCUACUUGGAUAACUGUGGUAAUUCUAGAGCUAAUACAUGCAUUAAAGCUCUGACCUUAGGGGAAGAGUGCAUUUAUUAGAACAAAACCAAGCGGCUUCGGCUGUUUUCGGUUGACUCAUAGUAACUGAGCUGAUCGCAUGGUCUUGUACCGGCGACGUGUCUUUCGAGUAUCUGCCGUAUCAACUUUCGAUGGUAGUGUAUCUGACUACCAUGGUGAUCACGCGUAACGGAGAAUAAGGGUUCGACUCCGGAGAGUUCGCCUGAGAAAUCGCGAACACAUCUAAGGAAGGCAGCAGGGCGAAAAUUACCCACUCUCAGCACGAGGAGGUAGUGACGAAAAUAACGAGACCGUCUCUUAUGAGGCCGGCAUCGGAAUGGGACAAUUAAACCCUUUACGGGGACUAUGAAAGGCAAGCUGGUGCAGCAGCCCGGAAUUCCAG